rnacentral:rRNA from 1 species
GAGUGAGCGGCAAGAGCUCAGAUUUGAAAUCUCACCUAGUGUGCGAGUUGUAAAUUGCAGGUUGGAGUCUCGGGUUAGACGUGUGUGCAAGUCCCUUGGAACAGGGUGCCACUGAGGGUGAGAGCCCCGUAUCGUGCAUGUCGACACCUGUGAGGCCCUUCUGACGAGUCGAGUUGUUUGGGAAUGCAGCUCUAAGUGGGUGGUAAAUUCCAUCUAAGGCUAAAUAUUGGCGAGAGACCGAUAGCGAACAAGUACUGUGAAGGAAAGAUGAAAAGCACUUUGAAAAGAGAGUGAAACAGCACGUGAAAUUGUUGAAAGGGAAGGGUAUUGGGCUCGACAUGGGAUUUACGCAUCGUUGCCUCUCGUGGGCGGCGCUCUGGGUUUUUCCUGGGCCAGCAUCGGUUUUCGUUGCAGGAUAAGGACAAUUGGAAUGUGGCUCCUCGGAGUGUUAUAGCCUUUUGUAGAUGCUGCGUAUGGGGACCGAGGGCUGCGGCGGACUCGUUUCGUCUCGGAUGCUGGCACAACGGCGCAAUACCGCCCGUCUUGA